rfam:Mus musculus chromosome 11, GRC primary reference assembly.
UGGCUCAGCGGGUAAGAGCACUGACUGCUCUUGCAGAGGUCCUGGGUUCAAAUCCCAG